rnacentral:ncRNA from 1 species
AAAUUAUUUUAUUUUAGUUAAUAUUUUUAUUAUUAUAUUAUUUUACAUGUAAAUUUUUGUAUGAAUAUAUUUUUAUUUUUAAAUAAAUAAAAUAAUUAAUUUAUUCGCAGUAAAUAUAAUUAAAAAAAAAAAGAAAUUUUGUUUUAGUAAUUAUUAAAAUAUUGGUAAAAUUUGUGCCAGCUACCGCGGUUAUACAAAUAAUAUAAAUAAAAAAUUUUUGAUAAUAAUUAAAUUGUAAAAUAAAAUUUUAAAGUAAUUAUAAAUUUAUUAGGUGAAAUUUUUAAAUUUAUUAAUUUAUUAAUUUAUAGGGGAUUGAAGUUAAAAAAAUUUAAAUAUAAACUAGGAUUAGAUACCCUAUUAUAAAAAUUAAAUUAAAAAUAUCAAAGUAGUAGUAGUUAUAUUCUUAAAAUUUAAAAAAUUUGGCGGUAUUUUAGUCUAUUUAGAGGAAUCUGUUUUAUAAUUGAUAAUCCACAUUGAACCUUACUUAAAUUUGUAUAAUUUGUAUAUCGUCGUCAUCAGAAUAUAUUAUAAGAUAUAAUUUUCUUGAUAUUAUAAAAAAUAAAAUGUCAGAUCAAGGUGCAGUUUAUAUUUAAGUAAAAAUGGAUUACAAUAAAUUUAUUUAUAUGAAUAAUUUUUUGAAAUAAGAAUUUGAAAGUGGAUUUAAAAGUAAUAAAAAAGAGAUUAUUUUUAUGAUUUUAGCUCUAAAAUAUGUACAUAUUGCCCAUCGUUCUUAUUUUUAAAAUAAGAUAAGUUGUAACAUAGUAGAUGUACCGGAAGGUGUAUCUAGAAAGAC